rnacentral:rRNA from 1 species
CGACGGAGGGUGCUAGCGUUGUUCGGAAUAACUGGGCGUAAAGAGCACGUAGGUGGUUAAUUAAGUUAGACGUGAAAGCCCUGGGCUUAACCUAGGAAUAGCGUUUAAUACUGGUUGACUAGAGUUUGGUAGAGGAAAGUGGAAUUCCUAGUGUAGAGGUGAAAUGCGUAGAUAUCCGGAGGAACAUCAGUGGCGAAGGCGACUUGCUGGACUAAUACUGACGCUGAGGAGCGAAAGCGUGGGGAGCAAACGGGAUUAGAAACCCCAGUAGUCC